rfam:Lachnoclostridium sp. An298 An298_contig_63, whole genome shotgun sequence.
GGACCUUUAGCUCAGUUGGUUAGAGCAACCGGCUCAUAACCGGUCGGUCCUGGGUUCGAGUCCCCGAAGGUCCA